AGUGAACGCUGGCGGUAGGCCUAACACAUGCAAGUCGAACGGCAGCACAGUAAGAGCUUGCUCUUACGGGUGGCGAGUGGCGGACGGGUGAGGAAUACAUCGGAAUCUACUUUUUCGUGGGGGAUAACGUAGGGAAACUUACGCUAAUACCGCAUACGACCUACGGGUGAAAGCAGGGGAUCUUCGGACCUUGCGCGAUUGAAUGAGCCGAUGUCGGAUUAGCUAGUUGGCGGGGUAAAGGCCCACCAAGGCGACGAUCCGUAGCUGGUCUGAGAGGAUGAUCAGCCACACUGGAACUGAGACACGGUCCAGACUCCUACGGGAGGCAGCAGUGGGGAAUAUUGGACAAUGGGCGCAAGCCUGAUCCAGCCAUAUCGCGUGGGUGAAGAAGGCCUUCGGGUUGUAAAGCCCUUUUGUUGGGAAAGAAAAGCAGCAGGUUAAUACCCCGCUGUUCUGACGGUACCCAAAGAAUAAACACCGGCGAACUUCGU
rnacentral:rRNA from 1 species